AUGUCCCCAGAACGGGACCUGUGGGCUUGUUAUUGUAGGGUCUCCCCGGAGUGGGUCCUGCUGGCUUGUUACUGUAGGGUCUCCCCGGAGUGGGUCCUGUUGGCUUGUUAUUGUAGGGUGUCCCCAGAACGGGACCUGUGGGCUUGUUAUUGUAGGGUCUCCCUGAAGAAGGACCUGCUGGCUUGUUACUGUAGGAUGUCCCCGAAGUGGGUCCUGCUGGCUUGUUAUUGUAGGGUCUCCCCAAAGCAGGUCCAGAUGACAUGUUAUUGUAGGGUCUCCGGAGGCGCUGGCAGGGGUGGGCUGCGGGGGCCUCAGUCCUCACCGGGGGUGGCACGGGUGAUGGCAGGGGGCACCGGGGGGGUGUUGCCGGUACCACCCAGCCACAGCACCAGCACCACGAUGAGGAUGAUGACAGCGAGGCCAACACCCAGCCCCACCAGCACCAGGCGCCAGUGCCGGUGCCUGACCCGCUGCUUCUGUGCCACCGCCCGGCUCGUCCGCGUGAACGUCUGGCCCUGGGGACAAACGGCGCAUGGGCACCGAGAUGGGCACUGCCAUGCAGGGACACCCCGCGAUGCCCAGCCAGGCCUCAAUGUCCCCACGGUGCCCAUCUGGGGCUUGAUGACCCCGUGGUGCCCACCCAGUGUGGUGUCCAGGGCCAUAUGGCCCCAUAGUGCCCGUUCAGGGCUGUGUGUCCCUCUGGUAUCCACCCAGCACAGUGUCCGGGGCCACAUGUCUCCACAGUGCCCACCCAGCACAGUGCCCAGAGCCAUAUGUCCCCAUGGUGGCCAUCCAGAGCUCUAUAUUCCCAUAGUGCACACCCAGCCUGGUGCCCAGGGCUCUAUGUCCCCGUGGUGCCCAUCCAGGGCUCUGUAUCCCCACAGUGCCCACCCAGGAUGGUGCCCGGGGACACAUGUCCCCAUGGUGGCCAUCCAGGGCUCUGUAUCUCCACAGUGCCCACCCAGGAUGGUGCCCGGGGACAUAUGUCCCCAUGGUGGCCAUCCAGGGCUCUACAUCCCUACCCAGCAUGGUGCCCAGAGCCAUAUGUCCCCAUGGUGGCCAUCCAGGGCUCUACAUCUCCACCCAGAAUGGUGCCCAGAGCCAUAUCUCCCCCAUGGUGCCCAUCCAGGGCCAUACACACAGUGCCCACCCAGCACUGUGCCUGGGGCCAUACAUCCCGGCAGUGGGGCUCUGUGUCCCCAUGGUGCCCACAGCACGGUGCCACCCGUCGUGCCCCUACCAUGCUGCGCAGCUCCUCAGCCCGGUUGUCCAGGUCGCUGA
rnacentral:lncRNA from 1 species